rnacentral:lncRNA from 1 species
CCUUCACCAACUCCAUACUACUACAAAUCACCUCCACCUCCCUCACCGGUUUACAAGUACAAAUCGCCACCUCCACCGGUCCAUUACUAUUCACCUCCAUAUUACUACAAGUCACCUCCACCUCCCUCACCAGUUUACAAGUACAAUUCCCCACCUCCACCAGUCCACCAUUAUGAUCCUCCAUAUUACUACAAGUCACCUCCACCUCCCUCACCAGUUUACAAGUACAACUCCCCACCUCCACCAGUCCACCAUUACGAUCCUCCAUAUUACUACAAGUCACCUCCACCUCCCUCACCGGUUUACAAGUACAACUCCCCACCUCCACCAGUCCAUUAUUAUUCACCUCCAUAUUACUACAAAUCACCCCCUACUCCUGUGAAAUCGCCACCACCUCCAUACUACUAUAAAUCACCGCCUCCUCCCUCACCAGUUUAUAAGUAUAGCUCACCACCUCCACCAGUCCACCAUUAUGAUCCUCCAUAUAACUACAAGUCACCUCCACCGCCUUCACCUGUUUACAAGUACAACUCCCCACCUCCACCAGUCCAUUAUUAUUCACCUCCAUAUUACUACAAAUCACCCCCUCCUCCUGUGAAAUCGCCACCACCUCCUUACUACUAUAAAUCACCUCCUCCUCCCUCACCGGUUUACAAAUACAACUCACCACCUCCACCGGUUUACAAGUACAACUCACCACCUCCGCCAGUCCAUUAUUACUCUCCUCCAUAUUACUAUAAGUCACCUCCACCUCCUUCACCGGUUUACAA